rnacentral:rRNA from 1 species
CCUACGGGCGGCAGCAGUAGGGAAUUUUGCGCAAUGGGCGAAAGCCUGACGCAGCAACGCCGCGUGAUCGAGACGCCCUUCGGGGUGUAAAGAUCUGUCAGUGGGGACGAAACUUGACGGUACCCACAGAGGAAGCACCGGCUAACUCCGUGCCAGCAGCCGCGGUAAUACGUGGGGUGCAAGCGUUGUACGGAUUCAUUGGGCGUAAAGAGUUCGUAGGCGGCACGUUAGGUCUGGAGGUAAAGGCAGAGGCCUAACCUCUGUACGGCACUGGAUACUGGCGGGCUGGAAUGCAGGAGAGGUAAGGGGAAUUCCUGGUGUAGCGGUGAAAUGCUUAGAUAGCAGGAGGAACAUCGGUGGCGAAAGCGCUUUACUGGGCCGUAAGUGACGCUGAGGAACGAAAGCCAGGGUAGCAAAUGGGAUUAGAUACCCUUGUAGUC